GCCGUUUGUAACACAUUUUCCUAGAGGCCUGAAUCGAAUGGUGAAACACAACACUGGGUGGAUCUUUGGUACAUUUAGGUAGUCCUUUGACCCAUUUCAGAGAGCCAGAUGUAUUGCCUUACCUUGGAUUUUAAAAAAAGGAGACAAGAACGAGUCUUAGUCAAAGGUCACUCUCAAGGGGCUAGGGCGCCAAGAGUAUAUCUACUGUGCAACUCUCGUCUUCCCCCUCACAAUUGAGGAAAGACCAGACAGAGACAACAUGAAGAUGCAGAUGCUGCUGGUGUUGGCUGUAGCAGUCUUGAUGGUUCCCAGUCUGUCUGAGGGACGGAUCCUCUCAAAAUGUGAGCUGAAGAGCUUAUUGGAGGAGGCGGCCUUCAAAUUCAACCUGACUGAGAAAGCCAGAGAGAAUUAUCUGACAAACAAGGACUUUGUGGCAAAAAUCGUCUGCCACGUAGAGAAGGCCACAGGUUUCAACACCCGUUUUGUGACUCCUUGGAGGGAUGAUGAUGACAGCCCUACCCGCCCUGCUAAGGAUGAUAACCGUCCGACCCGUCCUACCCACCCUGAGCACACUACUAGGAGGGGUAAGAGACACGCUGGGGAUUCUCACGGAGAUUCAUCCAGCGCUGAAAGUCAUCAGUUCAGCCCAUCAAAAGAGGACUCCAGAAAAGAAGACUCCAGCGAAGAGGAGACCAGCGAAGAAGAGACCAUGUGGACCCUCUACGGCUUGUUUCAGCUGAGCGACCGUGUGAUCUGUGCCAACGGCUCCACUCCGUCUCUGAACCUUUGCCAGAUGAACUGCAGUGAUUUGAUUGACGACGACAUCAGUGACGACUUGGACUGUGUGGAGACAAUCAAACAGACAGUGGAAAGUGGGCCCGGGGAUCAUAAAAUGGCUUUAAUGAGAAUGUUUAAGCUGCUCUUCCAGAAGGAAUGUGUCAUGACGGUUGCCUCUAGCUACUUCUCCGAGUGUUGAAUGAGAAGCCAUGUCAGAUGACGACCCCCAAAGUGUCUUUUCGCACACUAAUCGUUCACUCUUUCAACAAUACAUUGAGUUACAUAGGGUGAAUUUACACAGGCAGCCCAAUUCUAAGCUUUUGCCCAAUUAUUAACCAAUUGCAAAAAAUGACCAAUGCCAAAAGAUCAUAAUUGAGCUUCCUGUGUAAAUGUAGCCAUGGUGUGUAACAAUUAGUUCUCAUCAGCCUCAUUUUCACAAAGUACACCAAAAUAGAAUGUAUGUAGAAAGAAUAAAGUUUAACAGUGUAUUUCUUUGGUUUUGUUUAAUCAUCAUUUUUUGUUGUUGUUGAUGUGAACACCUGCACCUACUUUUAAAUGCAAUUGGGAUAAAUAUAUAACAGGUUAAAGCAAGGCAUACCUUGGAUGUAACCAUGGGAUAAACUGAACAGGAAGAGGGUUUACUCCGCCCAAAAUCUGUUCACAAAAAUAAGACCAUGAUGUGAGGAAUUUUUGUAUGGAAGUCAAUGAGUGUGUCAAAUUUGAUCAAUAAAAAAAUGUAAUUACUAAUUUGCUACGUGAGACUUACAGUGGAUAUCAUAAGUAUUCACCAACCAUAGAUUAAAAAAAAAAUUGUGUUGCAUUACAAAGUGGGAUUGAAAUGGAUUUAAUUGUGAUUUUUUUUGUCAUUUGAUCUAAAAAAAAAUGACCCCCUACUUGUCAAAGUGAAAAGACAAUUAUACAGUUUACAAAUGAACUAUUCACCCCCUUUGUUUAGGAAAGCCUAAAUUAGUUCAGGAGUACAAUUUGGCUUAACAAAUCACAUAACAAUUUACAUCAACUCACUACCCGUUCCUCUGUCCCUCAUACAAACAACAUAUGUAAGGUCCCUAAGUCAAGUAUUGAAUUUCAAGCACAGAUUAAACUACAAAGACCAAGGAGAUUUUCGAAAGCCUCAUAAAUAUUGGUAGAUGGGUAACAAUAACAAUUCAGACAUUGAAGAUCUCUUUAAGCAUGGUCAAGUUAAUAAUUAUUUUGUGGAUGAUGUAUUAAACCACCCAGAUACAACAAAGAUACAAUCUUCCUUCUGAACUGAGCUACAAGACAGGAAGGAAACUGCUCAGGGAUGUUACCAUGAGGCCAUUGGUGAUUUUAAAACAGCUACAGAGUUCAAUGGCUGUGAUGGUAGAAAACUGAGGGUCGAUCAACAACAUUGUAGUUACUCCACAAUAAUGACCUAAUUCAAAUAAAAUCAAAGUUUAUUUGUCACAUGCGCCAAAUAUAACAGGUGUAGACCUAACAGUGAAAUGUUUACUUAGAAGCUCUAACCAAUAGUGCAAAAAAGGUGUUAGGUGAACAAUAGGUAAGUAAAGAAAUAAAACAAUAGUAAAAAGACAGGCUACAUACAGUAGCGAGGCUAUAAAGUAGCGAGGCUACAUGCAGACACCGGUUAGUCAGGCUGAUUGAGGUAGUAUGUACAUGUAGAUAUGGUUAAAGUGACUAUGCAUAUAUGAUGAACAGAGAGUAGCAGUAGCGUAAAAGAGGGGUUGGCAGGUGGUGGGAAACAAUGCAGACAGCCCGGUUAGCCAAUGUGCGGGAGCACUGGUUGGUCGGCCCAAUUGAGGUAGUAUGUACAGUGGGGCAAAAAAGUAUUUAGUCAGCCACCAAUUGUGCAAGUUCUCCCACUUAAAAAGAUGAGAGAGGCCUGUAAAUUCUCAUCAUAGGUACACUUCAACAAUGACAGACAAAAUGAGAAAAAAAAUCCAGAAAAAUCACAUUGUAGGAUUUUUAAUGAAUUUAUUUGCAAAUUAUGGUGGAAAAUAAGUAUUUGGUCAAUAACA
ensembl:lncRNA